rnacentral:lncRNA from 1 species
GUUCGUGUGUCUGGGAGCGAUCGAACAAGCAGGAGGGAGGGGAAACCCUAGCUCAAGAAAUCAAGCAAUCCAACUCAAGAUCAUAAGUUAAUUCAGUGCAUGAUCCCUAAAUUGUGAUUAGCUAACCCUAAUCUCUUGAGUGGAAAAGCACCUCUAUAGGCGAUUUGGAGCUAUGGGACGAGCACAUGCGUGAAAGAAGAAGGUACAAGCACUAAGCAAGCGGAAGGAGCACAAGAUCGAGGUAAAGCACCUCUAUAGGCGAUUUGGAGUUAUGGGACGAGCACAUGUUCAAGCCUUAUAAUACCAAGCGCUUCCGCAACUCAUAUGCAUACUUUUGGGUCCAUGUUUUGCCACUUUGUUAGACUUUGUUGAAAUGUUUUAGAUUUAAAAACUCGUUACUUUUGUUGGAAUGGUUUUAUGUAAAUUGGGUCGUAGGUAAACGUUGUAUGUUAUGUCAAAACAGGGGGUAUGUCCGUUUUACAAACGGGUCAUGCCCAAUUU